GACGAACGCUGGCGGCGUGCUUAACACAUGCAAGUCGAACGGAAAGGCCCCUUUGGGGGUACUCGAGUGGCGAACGGGUGAGUAACACGUGAGUAACCUGCCCUUCACUUCGGGAUAACUUCAUGAAACUGGGGCUAAUACCGGAUAGGAAUCCUUGCUGCAUGGUGGGGGUUGGAAAGCUUCGGCGGUUUUGGAUGGACUGGCGGCUUAUCAGCUUGUUGGUGGGGUAGUGGCUUACCAAGGCUUUGUCGGGUAGCCGGCCUGGGAGGGCGACCGGCCACAUUGGGACUGAGAUACGGCCCAGGCUCCUACGGGAGGCAGCAGUGGGGAAUAUUGCACAAUGGGCGGGAGCCUGAUGCAGCAACGCCGCGGGCGGGAUGACGGCCUUCGGGUUGUAAACCGCUUUCAGCAGGGGAGGAGCUUGUGGUGACGGUACCUGCAGAAGAAGCACCGGCUAACUACGUG
rnacentral:rRNA from 1 species